UGAGGAACAUGACCUUCGGCGGGGGAUAGCCGGCCCAACGGCCGGGUAAUACCGCGUACGACCACUUUGGGACAUCCCUCGGUGGUGAAAGCAGCAAUGCGCCGAUGGAGUGCCUCGCGGCCUAUCAGCUAGUUGGUGAGGUAACGGCUCACCAAGGCGACGACGGGUAGCCGGCCUGAGAGGGCGACCGGCCACACUGGGACUGAGACACGGCCCAAACUCCUACGGGAGGCAG
rnacentral:rRNA from 1 species